rnacentral:rRNA from 1 species
UGCAACCCGACUACAUGAAGCCGGAAUCGCUAGUAAUCGCGGAUCAGAAUGCCGCGGUGAAUACGUUCCCGGGUCUUGUACACACCGCCCGUCACACCAUGGGAGCCGGAAAUGCCCGAAGUCUGUGGCCCAACCUUAACAGGGGGAGCAGCCGAAGGCAGGUCCGGUGACUGGGGUGAAGUCGUAACAAGGUACC